UACGGGGGGGGUAAGCGUUGUUCGGAAUUACUGGGCGUAAAGGGCUCGUAGGCGGCCAACUAAGUCGGACGUGAAAUCCCUCAGCUUAACUGGGGAACUGCGUCCGAUACUGGAUGGCUUGGAUUUGGGAGAGGGAUGCGGAAUUCCUGGUGUAGCGGUGAAAUGCGUAGAGAUCAGGAAGAACACCGGUGGCGAAAGCGUUCUGCUAGACCUGUACUGACACUGAGGGACGAAAGCUAGGGGAGCGAAUGGG
rnacentral:rRNA from 1 species